AGUCGCAAACCAUAGCUGUGAGUUCUCAGCGCUUGCGGUUCCCGGAGGAUCACUCCUUCCAUCCCCUGGAGGAACUGAGGCAAAUCCCCAGGCUGCGAGGCCUCUGCCUGGGACGGAAGACAUAGGGGGGCUAACCCCCCACUACCCUGCAGCCCACCUCCAAGUCCACGUGCCCCGUAACCCCUAAGAAGGCAUUGACAGGGGUCAAGGUCCUCCAGAGCUACAGCUAAGGGGCUGCUGAAUCCUGGACCAGACGAGCCUGGGGGCAGGUGUGGGUUAGGGUCAGUGGCUAAGCAACCAGCGUGUGCAAGACGCUGGCCCUGCCAAGCACAGCUAGCACUCCAGAAGCAAGGAGGCACCAGGCUUCGCGCCCAAGUCCACCGACAUUGACCUUGAGGGCUCAGGGAGCUUGGCGUCUCCUUCUGGGUUCUCAGCUCCGUUCCAGAUGCUUCAAGUUCACACUGAAGUCACCUGGGAGCGAGUGAAGUGUGACCUGAUUUCCGUUCAGCGAGAUGAAAGUUAGGAAGGUAGAAAAUCCCGGGAAGGUGAGAGGGAGAAGUCAACGGUGAUAAAACAGGGUUUACUUUCCACGUGGAUAUUUCAUCCUUCUCCUGCCCAGGCAACUGGAGGCUACCGGCAAAGCCACAAAGGGCUGGAGGAGUCCUAAACAGCUAAGAGGGUCAAAGUCGCCCCAAACAGAAGGUCUGGUGAGCUAAGCCAGUGCCAGAUGGUGAGACGGUGACGUCCUUCACCAAAGUUGUGCAGUCACGGUCCCCGCUGUCAACUCAGAUUCUGAGCUCAGAAGUGAGGCACGUCUGUGCCUUCCCCAAAGAUCACGGCGACCGACACGUGAGCAGCACACACCCAGGCGAGAAAGAGUGAGGCUGGGAGCCAGCGGAACCUAGUUUGAUAACACGGGCACAGCUCAGCCACCGAUCCUGACAAAGGUGACCACAGGCAACACGGCCCUAUCGCCAGCUUUCGGGAAACGGGAAUCAGGGACAGACCGUGUGCGGCCUCUACCUUCCUGCACAUCCUAUAAGGAAAUAAGGGAGAUUUAGACUGAACACCAGGGUCUGAAGACGUCACAGGGAUUCCUGAGGGUCAACCCAGAAACCGACACGCCUGUCAGGACUGCGCUGGGGGUGCAAGAAGUGUGCCCACCCAUCGGCCGGCCUCGGCGCUGAGACAGUCCCGGACCUCCACCUCCGAGGGGUGAGGGACGGACGCCGAGGGUGACGUUCCUGGCAGCGCACACAGCAAGCAUGGGACCGAGCCGGCAGCUGAGCAGGGACUGCUGCAUAGCCUAAAGAAUGAAGCCAUGCACCGGCCUGCAGCGAGGAAAUCCUACACAGCAAAAGAUCGCCACCCAGAUAAAGGGCUGAAAGCUAUUUCCCGGUUCAGCUCUUUUGCAGCGGAGUCUGAGGACAGCCUGACAGGCUGCGGCAUCCACACAGCAUCAAGCUCCAGGCAGCGCUCAAGGACUCAGAUGUUGAGUCGACUUUCUCUGCGCUGUGCGGUGGACACAUCAUGGCCAGCUGCCUGCGCACACCCGUCCCUGUCACCUUGAAUCCUGCUGCACGAAAAGCAAGACAAAGCCAUCAACCCCCGGAUCCCCCCCCAAGCCAGCCUGGGGGUCGUGCUAAUGGGAACGCGGUCCCUGAGUGGCAUGUGGAUCAGAAAACAUUUAACUGACACUGAAUGCACGUGUCACCCUGAACGGGACACUGGCCGUGGGAAAUAGCGACGAAGGACAGUAUUGGUUAAUUGACAAAAUUUGAAG